rnacentral:rRNA from 1 species
AUUGAACGCUGGCGGCAUGCUUUACACAUGCAAGUCGAACGGUAACAGGUUAAGCUGACGAGUGGCGAACGGGUGAGUAAUGCAUCGGAACGUGCCCGAUCGUGGGGGAUAACGCAGCGAAAUCUGCGCUAAUACCGCAUAAGAUCUGAGGAUGAAAGCGGGGGCCCGUAAGGCCUCGCGCGAUCGGAGCGGCCGAUGUCAGAUUAGGGAGUUGGUGGGGUAAAGGCCCACCAAGCCGACGAUCUGUAGCUGGUCUGAGAGGACGACCAGCCACACUGGGACUGAGACACGGCCCAGACUCCUACGGGAGGGAGCAGUGGGGAAUUUUGGACAAUGGGCGAAAGCCUGAUCCCGCAAUGCCGCGUGCAGGAAGAAGGCCUUCGGGUUGUAAACUGCUUUUGUACGGAGCGAAAAGGCCCUUUCUAAUACAAGGGGCUCAUGACGGUACCGUAAGAAUAAGCACCGGCUAACUACGUGCCAGCCGCCGCCGUAA